GAAACUAACUAGGCAAUCGCGAUUAUUAGCGUAAUCGAGGAAAGUCCGGACACCACAUGGAUAAAAGUGCUGGGUAACUCCCAGGAGCCGCAUUGCGGUUACGGAAAGUGGCGCAGAAAAUAUACCGCCAAGUUUACUUGGUAAGGGUGAAAAGGUGCGGUAAGAGCGCACCGCGCAAUUAGUGAUAAUUGUGGCAGGCAAAACCCCACUUGGUGCAAGACCAAAUAGGCGUAACUCGUAGAUAUCCUGUACAUUUAGUUACGCGGGUAGGUUGCUCGAGCUUCUUGGUAACAAUUAGCCUAGAUGAAUGAUUGCCUCAAGCGCAAGCUUAAGACAGAAUCCGGCUUAUCGGUUAGUUUCCUCU
rnacentral:RNase_P_RNA from 2 species